AAUAUUUCCUAAUAUUCUCCAAUGAUUCGCUUUUUAGUAUUUAUUUUUUAAAAAUGAGAAAAAGGUUAUUUAUUAAUGUACUAAUAUUUAAGUAGUUAGGUAAUUUGCAUGCGACUAAAAGUAGUUUUACGUAUUAAUCAAUAAAAAUAACAUUUUGUUAUUUCAAGUCUCGCAAUUACAUUAAUGAGCCUAAAUCCGUGUUGUAUAAUUGAUAACCAUAGAAUAGUUUUGAAUGUGGAUACAGUCGAGAGAAAAAUACUCAUGCAAAAUUUAAAUUUGGUAUCGCUAGUAAUGAUCCUAAAGCAUUGGCAUGAUUGCUUAUUUUUGUGCACAUCAACUUUCUUUUACUUUUUCAGACGAAAUUAUAGUAUUAUACUAAUAUGAGAUCUAAAUCUUAAUUAAUACUUAUAAAAUAAAUAUAUCGACAUAUAAAAGACGUCAAGGCAAAAACAAGAGAAGCAAGAAAGCAUGAAGGGCUUUGCUUCUUACACAUGUGUCCCGACAAAUAGUCACAGGUGCUGUGUCAGCUCUGUUCAACCAACACUUCAUUUUUAAAUAUAUUGUUAGGAUUUUAACCUUAACCUUGUGCUAUAGAAUUAGGAAUAAACUUGAUACCAAACUUGUCUUAGCUUUUAUUCACUACAAAGGUUUCUCAAGAACAAAAUAUAAAGAUCACAAGCCUAAGCAAUAAACGCUCUUCCUAAUUGCUAAUCUCUCUUGAUCUCUCUUUAUCUAACUUAUUGCUCUCUUCUCUCUUCUUAAACGGAUGAUCUUUGUUGUUGUUGAAGCUUUCCUUAUAUAGUCACGACCUAGACCGAAUCCUCUUUGUAAAAGGAUUAUUUCCAUUCUCUUAAAUUGGUAAAGCACGAGACCGUCAUUAACGUAAUCAGAAACUUGCCGCCAAAGUAAUCUUUUGGUAUUGGGCUUAAAGUAGAAUUUGGCCCAUAUCAUUACAAUCUCCACCUUGGGCCCAAAUCCAUACUUCUCCUUUUGCGUCUUCUUCGUUGAGCAACAAUACCAACUCUUCUCUGUAGCUUUGACGAUCAUAGUGAUUCUUACCCAACCACUACCUCCACUUUUCUCCGCUCUGGUUCCUUUGGCAAACAAAGCUAGCGAUUUCAGGAGCUUCACCAAGCUUUCCCUCCGUUUCCGCGUGACUGGUCCGUCUUCUCUUCUCCACUCCAGCCGGUGAAUUCAUCCCCCUUGUGAAUCUUGCCGAUAAAUUCUCUCGCCAAUGCUCUGAUUUGUUCACCGCUUCCUCUUCUCAGGCGCUAGCUUGCAACGCCUCAACCGUAGAUGUGCAUGCUCACCCUCGUAUGGCUUCCUGGUCAUGUCCUUUUUGUUUUCUUUAGAAUCAGACUCUUCAGUUUGCACAGCUCACUUGAUGCAGACGUCUCUCCACCAUGUAGCUUCCUUUGGUUUGAUGUAGACGGUUCCUUGCUACGACCAUGUAUUUUUCAGACCUUGUAUAGACUGUGUCGUCUAUAACCACCAUUCCUCAGAGCUUCUUGGAAAAGACUUUCAGUCUCCUCAGCGGUUUAAGACGAUCACUUCGCUUGUGCUUGUUCUGCGAUCUUGUAGUCCUGUAACCUGAGAUACUCGUCUCCCUUCACCAUUACUGGUGUUCAAGACGUUCUCUCAUCAACCUUCCCCUUCCUUGUAUGGCAACCCAGUUGGGAUUCCUUUCUAGCCUGAGAUACUCGUCUCCAUUCACCACUCUUGAUGUUUAAGACGUUCUCUCAUGUAGCACUUCAACAACCUUUCCUACCCUUCAUCCGAUAUAAUUGAGACCUAUUAGCAAUUUUCCCUUUGUUUCAGCUGCUCCACCUUGAGCUAAAACAUCCACCUCGUCUUAUCCGUCACAAGUAAAUUUUCUUGCUCCUUACUAGCUC